rnacentral:rRNA from 1 species
GAUGAACGCUGGCGGCGUGCCUAAUACAUGCAAGUCGAGCGAACGGACGAGAAGCUUGCUUCUCUGAUGUUAGCGGCGGACGGGUGAGUAACACGUGGAUAACCUACCUAUAAGACUGGGAUAACUUCGGGAAACCGGAGCUAAUACCGGAUGAUAUUUUGAACCGCAUGGUUCAAAAGUGAAAGACGGUCUUGCUGUCACUUAUAGAUGGAUCCGCGCUGCAUUAGCUAGUUGGUAAGGUAACGGCUUACCAAGGCAACGAUGCAUAGCCGACCUGAGAGGGUGAUCGGCCACACUGGAACUGAGACACGGUCCAGACUCCUACGGGAGGCAGCAGUAGGGAAUCUUCCGCAAUGGGCGAAAGCCUGACGGAGCAACGCCGCGUGAGUGAUGAAGGUCUUCGGAUCGUAAAACUCUGUUAUUAGGGAAGAACAUAUGUGUAAGUAACUGUGCACAUCUUGACGGUGCCUAAUCAGAAAGCCACGGCUAACUACGUG